GAUGAACGCUAGCGAUAGGCUUAACACAUGCCAGUCGAGGGGUAACGUGUUGGAAGCUUGCUUCCGAUGACGCCGACCGGCGGAUGGGUGCGUAACGCGUAUGCAACUUGCCUCACAGUGGAGAAUAACCCGGAGAAAUCCGGACUAAUACUCCAUACACUCUUAAGUACGCCUGUACAUGAGAGGAAAGAUUUAUCGCUGUGAGAUAGGCAUGCGUCCUAUUAGGUAGUUGGUGAGGUAACGGCUCACCAAGCCGACGAUAGGUAGGGGUGCUGAGAGGCAGAUCCCCCACAUUGGGACUGAGACACGGCCCAAACUCCUACGGGAGGCAGCAGUGAGGAAUAUUGGUCAAUGGAGGAAACUCUGAACCAGCCAAGUCGCGUGAAGGAAGAAUGUCCUAAGGAUUGUAAACUUCUUUAGCGAGCGAGUAAGGACUUCCACGUGAUGGGAGUUUGAAAGUAGCUCGAGAAUAAGUAUCGGCUAACUCCGUG
rnacentral:rRNA from 1 species